rnacentral:rRNA from 1 species
CAGUAGCCACGGUAAUACAGAGGAUGCAAGCGUUAUCCGGAAUGAUUGGGCGUAAAGCGUCUGUAGGUGGCUUUUCAAGUCCGCCGUCAAAUCCCAGGGCUCAACCCUGGACAGGCGGUGGAAACUACCAAGCUGGAGUACGGUAGGGGCAGAGGGAAUUUCCGGUGGAACGGUGAAAUGCGCUGAGAUCAGAAAGAACACCAACGGCGAAAGCACUCUGCUGGGCCGACACUGACACUGAGAGACGAAAGCUAGGGGAGCAAAUGGGAUUAGAUACCCCGGUAGUCCCUGUCUCUUAUAA